AUGUCGCAAGCGUUAUCCGGCUUUAUUGUGCGUCAAGCGCGUCUAGGUGGUUUGGUAAGUCUGCUGUUGAAAUGCGGGUCUCAACUCCGUAUUGCGUUGGAAACUGCCAAACUAGAGUACUGGAGAGGUGGGCGGAACUACAAGUGUAGAGGUGAAAUUCGUAGAUAUUUGUAGGAAUGCCGAUAGAGAAGUCAGCUCACUGGACAGAUACUGACACUGAAGCGCGAAAGCAUGGGGAGCAAA
rnacentral:rRNA from 1 species